rnacentral:rRNA from 1 species
UACGGAGGGGGCUAGCGUUGUUCGGAAUUACUGGGCGUAAAGCGCACGUAGGCGGCUUUACAAGUCAGGGGUGAAAGCCCGCGGCUCAACCGCGGAAUUGCCCUUGAGACUGUAUCGCUUGAACACGGGAGAGGUGAGUGGAAUUCCCAGUGUAGAGGUGAAAUUCGUAGAUAUUGGGAAGAACACCAGUGGCGAAGGCGGCUCACUGGCCCGUAACUGACGCUGAGGUGCGAAAGCGUGGGGAGCAAACAGG